rnacentral:rRNA from 1 species
AACGGCCAUACCAUGCUGAAUAUACCGGUUCUCGUUAGAUCACCGAAGUCAAGCAUCAUUGGGCGCGGUCAGUACUUGGGUGGGUGACUACCUGGGAACAUCGCGUGCCGUU